AUGGAUGUUAAGACUGCUUUCCUAAAUGGAAAGUUGGACGAGAAAAUUUAUAUGGAACAACCAGAUGGGUUUGUACUAGAUGGUCAGGAAGGAAAAGUGUGCAAGUUGCUAAAGUCCUUGUAUGGACUCAAGCAAGCACCCAAACAGUGGCAUGAGAAGUUUGAAAGAAUUUUAACAGCCGCAGGCUUUGUUGUAAACGAAGCUGACAAAUGUGUGUACUAUCUCCAUGGUGGGGGAUGA
rnacentral:rRNA from 1 species